rnacentral:piRNA from 1 species
UGUGCUCGCUGGCUACUUGUUCACAUGAC